GCACUACCCUUUUAUCUAGUCGCUGCAGGGCCAGGGCAGUGAAGUCUCUUCCCGUUCUUGAGUUCUAGCGAGAGUGCAUCGUGUGAGUGUUGUGGUUCAUGUUCACGUCGGUGUUUACUCUCCCCGGCCAUCAGUGUCUCGUCGGGAACGCCGCGGUGCCGCCGGUGAACGCCGCUGGGAACGGUCUCGCCGUGGCAGACCUUGUCUGGGGCCGGUUGCGUGCGUGAUCUGGGGUUGGUCUGCUCUGUGGUGAGUCGCAAGUGCCUGCUCCACCAUGGUUGGGAACUCUACUGCAUCGUCAUUCCGGCUUAACACCAUCGAAGUUGGAAGCCGCCGACACGCGCAGAGGAAGCGCGGGCGCGCGCGGUGCUGGAGCCUAGGGCUGUAAGCGCUGUCUGAGUGGGCCGGUUUUGCCUGGAGUUGGGCUGGCUGGAACACCAAGAACAAGAAUUGGUCCUUGUGAAGAUGGAACCUACUCCAGUGCUAUUGAUCCAGUGGUGGACUCCAUCUAACUGCCUAUCGUGAUAGAAGAUCUCAGAUCUCCUCCUGUAAUAAG